UUUUAUAAGUGUAACAAAAACUGCCGAUCAGAUUAAAUAGAUACAUUGAAAAUCAAUAUGAGAGCUGUUAGAUGUAUCAUUACUUCCGGUGGAUAAUUAAGAGGAGCAGUGAAUUCAAGGAAUAAAGGAAGCUAAAUAUUUCUACUUUCGAUUACCUCCGGUCAAUAUUCAUGCAAAUGACAAUAUCUAUUUUUAACGCUGUGGGAGAACGUGAGGUGUGAUCGUACGGUGGACGAUAAUUGAACUAAACAACACAUGACGUCAGCUCUGCAUUUGUUUCGUGCAUGCGGUAUGAGAUGAUAACACUGGACAUUACGUCAGAUAUCAGUUGUGCAUGAGGACAACUUUUCCCCCACCAUGGAUUUGUACGCGUAUAUCUGAGAUAGUUUUCGAUAUUUAGUUUCGAUUGUUUUGGCGUAAAGAAAAUUUCCCUCCGUAAACCUAGCAAUUUAUUUUUGUCUUAUUCUUAUGUUGGCAUUGUUCUGUUCCAACUUCCGUUGCUAGCCUCACACCGAACGCACAGCUGCUAAACUGAAAAGGCGGCAAACUUCCGUUUUGUGUACUUUCGUUGGAGUGGCACGAAGAGCAGAGAUAUUCUUUACUUUGUGAGUGAUGUGUACGAGAGACUUAACUGUCAAGAACGGAACAGAGGUUACAGACAGAAGUUCAGUUGCCCUUAACAUCAAUGGAUUCUCACCGCUACUUGUGUUGACGCUGUGGGCGUCGG